GCGCACGUGGUGGAACCGGUAGACACACGAGACUUAAAAUCUUGCGCCUUCGGGCGUGCCGGUUCGAGUCCGGCCGUGCGCACCA
rnacentral:tRNA from 1 species